UCUGGUGGAUAUAGCUACGGGGAAACACCCGUUCCCAUUCCGAAUACGGCAGUAAAGUCCGUAGCGCUGAUAAUACUUGGCUGGUAACGGCCUGGAAAUGUAGGUACCGCCAGAU
rnacentral:rRNA from 1 species